rnacentral:rRNA from 1 species
UACAGAGGUCUCAAGCGUUGUUCGGAUUCAUUGGGCGUAAAGGGUGCGUUGGCGGCGCAGUAAGUCGGGUGUGAAAUCUCGGAGCUUAACUCCGAAACUGCAUUCGAUACUGCCGUGCUUGAGGACUGGAGAGGAGACUGGAAUUUACGGUGUAGCGGUGAAAUGCGUAGAUAUCGUAAGGAAGACCAGUGGCGAAGGCGGGUCUCUGGGCAUUCCCUGACGCUGAGGCGCGAAAGUGCGGGGAUCAAACAGG